rnacentral:rRNA from 1 species
UACGUAGGGGGCAAGCGUUGUCCGGAUUUAUUGGGCGUAAAGAGCGUGUAGGCGGCUUUGCAAGUCCGUUGUGAAAACUCGAGGCUCAACCUCGAGACGCCGGUGGAAACUGCAAAGCUAGAGUCCGGAAGAGGAGAGUGGAAUUCCUGGUGUAGCGGUGAAAUGCGCAGAUAUCAGGAGGAACACCGGUGGCGAAGGCGGAUCUCUGGGCCGAUACUGACGCUGAGGAGCGAAAGCGUGGGGAGCGAACAGG